GGGGUGGCAAAAUGCUGAGUAACACGUAGUCAAUCUACCCUGUGGCCGGGGAUAACCUUGAGAAAUUGAGGACAAUACCCGAUAUUCCACCUAUGCUGGAAUGCUUGGUGGUUUAAACGGGCUGUGAAUUGGAACAGUUCCGCCAUAGGACGAGACUGCGGGGGAUUAUGGUUGUUGGUAGGGUAAUGGCCUACCAAGCCGAUAACCUCUAGGGGCCAUGAGAGUGGUGGCCCCCAGAAGGGCACUGAGACAAGGGCCCUAGCCCUACGGGGUGCAGCAGGCGCGAAACCUCUACAAUGCUGGAAACAGUGAUAGGGGAACUCCGAGUGGCGUCGGCUAAGCCGGCGUCUUUUGCCAAGUGUAAAUAGCUUGGAGAAUAAGGGUGUGGGCAAGACUGGUGGCAGCCGCCGCGGUAACACCAGCGCCUCGAGUGGUACCCACGAAUACUGGGCCUAGAGCGUUCGUAGCCGGCCAGAUAAGUCUUCUGUGAAAUAGUGUGGCUUAACCUCACUGCGCGCAGGAGAUACUGUUUGGCUUGGGAACGGGGGAGGUCAGGAGUACACCCGGGGUAGGGGUAAAAUCCGUUGAGCCUGGGUGGACUACCAGUGGCGAAGGCGCCUGACCAAAACGUGUCCGACGGUGAGGAACGAAAGCUGGGGGAGCGAACGGGAUUAGAUACCCCGGUAGUCCCAGCUGUAAAUAAUGCGGACUGCGGUGUUGCUUCAGAGUUAAUCUGCAGCAGUGCUGUAGCGUAGGUGUUAAGUCCGCCGCCUGGGGAGUACGGCCGCAAGGUUAAAACUUAAAGGAAUUGGCGGGGGAGCACCACAAGGGGUGAAGCCUGCGGUUCAAUUGGACUCAACGCCGGGAAACUUACCAGGGGAGACAGCAGAAUGACAGUCAGGUUGACGACCUUACUCGACGAACUGAGAGGAGGUGCAUGGCCGUCGCCAGUUCGUGCUGUGAGGUAUCCUGUUAAGUCAGGCAACGAACGAGAUCCGCGCCUUUAUUUGCCAUCAAGAAGUCACGACUUCGUUGGGAACACUAAAGGGACCGCCGUCGAUAAGACGGAGGAAGGAGCGGGCAAAGGCAGGUCAGUAUGCCCCGAAACCCCUGGGCUACACGCGGGCUGCAAUGGUGCGAACAAUGGGCUGUAACUCCGAAAGGAGAAACCAAUCCCGAAAUCGCAUCUCAGUGGGGAUUGUCGACUGUAACUCGUUGACAUGAACGUGGAAUCCCUAGUAAUCGCGU
rnacentral:rRNA from 1 species